AUUGAACGCUGGCCGGAGACCUAACACAUGCAAGUCGCACGAGUGGCGGCCGGGUGGGUCAUGUCUGGGCAACUGCCCGCUGUAGGGGGAUAACUACUUGCAACGGUAGCUAAUCACGCCUACCAUCAGAUGUCCCCAGAGGGGACUAGCUAGUUGGUGGGGUAACGGCUCACCAAGUCGACGAUCCCUAGCUGGUCUGAGAGGAUGACCAGGAACUAUGGAAGUGAGACACUGUCCAGACGGCUAAGAGAGGCAGCAGUGGGGAAUAUGGGAAAACGGGCACAAGCCUGAAGCAGCCAUGCCGCGGGUAUGAAGGAGGCCUUGGGUUUGUAAAGUACGUGCGGAGGGGAGGCGUAACUCGCAAAAGAAGCGCAGGCUAACUCCGUGCCGGCAGCCGCGGUAAUUC
rnacentral:rRNA from 1 species